GUCACUCUGAGUCACCCAGGCUGGAGUGCACUGGUGCAAUCACGGCUCACUGCACCCUCGAACUUCUGGUCUCAAGCUAUGCUCCUGCCUUAGUUCCCCAAGUAGCUGGGACUACAGGCAUCUCACUGGACACAGAAGACACAACUGUGAACAAGUCCAAGAAAGACCCUGUUCUCAGGAAACUGAAAUUCCUGCUAGAAGGUCUGGCAAACCUUCGUUCAGAGAUAUGACAAAAUCAAGGCUGCAGAAACUGAGGUCCCAAAAGGUGAAAUGACUUGCAAUGGGUACAUAGUGAUUACUUCUGGGGCACAAGAUCAAGACUCCACUUUAUUGCUCUCCACUAUCAGUCAAAUAUAUUUCAUAGAAAUGUGAAAUGAAAGGUCUGUAAUUUACACCAUAUUUGGCUGAACACAAGGAUUUCCAAUAAAUUACUCCUAAUUAUUUUAAACCUUUGUGAAAAUUACACCUAACUUUUUAAGCUCGUGCACAGUUACAUAAAUAAAGAGAAAAAUAAG
rnacentral:lncRNA from 10 species